UUCAGCAUAUGGCAUCUUUUCUCACAACCCUGAAAGUCACUGGGCCAGAUUCUCAACCCCCCAGCUUGGUAUAAUUUGGGCAUCCUGAGCAGCAUGAAGGGCCCAUACUCUGGCUGCAGCUGGCCAGUUGAGAAUUUUCCCUCCAGAAGGGAAUUACCCACUGAUGCAAAGCCAGAUGAGCCAGCUCCUAUGCCAACUGUCUCUUUCUAGUACAGGGGUACGACAGAAGAGAGAGGGAAUGGAGCAGAGCUCUAGGAUACUCUAACUUACGUCAGGACUACAGUUGGCAGCGAGCAAGAAUUCUGCUGGAGAUGUGAGAAAGCUGACAUCAGCAGGCCUGAAACUUGCCUCUACUGUCACCUGAAGGAAAAGUCCCAGUAGGGGCAUGACUUGAAUUGUAGUCAAUUGGAGAUGAGCGUGCACAGACAUGACAACUCUGGGCCCUACGCUAGUACAACCACAACCACAGUAAUCAUGAUAUUCAGGAAUGAGAAAACAACUAUAAAGGAAGAACUGCGUGUUACAACAACUGUUGAAACAGAAGAAGCUGUUCAGCUGAAGUUUAGAACAUUCUACUCAAAAGCAGGAAAGCCUCAACUAGACUGACUUACAAAGCUAAGUUGAAAAGGUUUUCUAUUUGGUCAUCUCGUUACCAACUGUUUCCCCUGACAACACCCAUUUUCAGUAAUCCUGGACAAUUUACUGUUAGUUCUAUAAGGGUUCACCUAGCAGCAACAUCUGCACAUCAUCUUUCUUUCCAGAACCUCAUUGUAUUUUCUCACCCUGCAGUGGAUAGAUUCCUUAAAGACCUUAUUCAUGUUUCUCCCCCUGUAUGUGUGCCCCCUCUCUUCUGGCUCUUCAGUAUAGUAUUAAUAGGGUUGAUGGGUCCCCCCCACCUUUGAGCCUUUAGCAACUUGUUCCAUGUAGCAUCUAUCAAUGAAGACUUUUAGAAGUUGUUGCAUCAGCUCGUAGGGUAUGGAAGAUUUAAGCCCUGGGGGCACAUAUCCUUAUAGAUAAGGACAAGGUCCUAUAGCAUAAGGACAGGGUCACUCUUGGGCCUCAUUCCAAGCACCUACCCAAAGCUGUUUCAUGUUCCAUAUGACCCAAUAUAUUCAUUUCCCAGUUUUCUUCCACAAGCUUCACUUAACACCAGGGAAAGCUAAACUUCAUGUAGUUGAUGCAGUAAGGGCAUUAUUGCAUUACUUUUACAGAUCAAAAUAAUUCAGCAGCACACCUAGACUGUUUGUGGCCUUAGAUGAUCGGAUUAAGCAUCAGUAAUAUCCUCACAGAAAUUAUCAACAUGGGUCUCCUAUUGUAUAAGAACAAGUUACACGCUAAUCAGGUUAGAACACCUAGCCCCAUUAGAGCUCAUUCCACUAGAGGUCAAGCAGAUUCUGCUACCUUUUCAAAGAACCAUCCCUAUUUCUAAAAUUUGUAGAGUAGGUCCUUGGAGCUCAGUCCACACAUCUACAAGACACCAUUCUUUGACAGAGGCUUCUAGAUCAGAUGCCUGUUUUGGUAGGGUUGUCCUGUAGUCAUUGAUUGAGUACAUCUCGUAGUAGCUACUUCCAAGCAGACAGACAACUGCAUGUUAGUCACCAAGAGUGGAAUCCACGGGGACAAUCACUCGAAGAAAGAAGUGUCCCAUAGUAACUGAGGUUCUCUGAAAUGUGUUGUCCACAUAAAUUCCAGAUUCUGUUUGGUUGAAGAAAGUGAGGGAUGGUUGGGACUGCUCUGCCUUUUAUGCCUUCUGGUGUGGGGAAUGUGAGGACAUCUGGGGUGCAGGAAUGGCCCCUGUGGCCAUUGCUGGCCAAAAGAAUCUGAUCAUGCAUGCCUGAAACAAAUGUGCACCAAGAGUGAAAUCCAUGCAGACAACAUCGCUUGAAGAACCCCAGUUCAUGUAACUCUUCUUCUUGACAACACUUUUGGAAGCCUCUGGAGUAACUAGACCUGGUUUUGGUGGAGUUUUACUCAUCAUGAUUUUUUCUCAGUUGCCAGACCUCCAACUGGUUUAAGCAUUGCAUGACAAACUUGAAAUCCUGGUCAGGUCCUUGAUUUAAGUUUUUGGAAACCUUCAACAGUACUUUCUCAGCAGGACUAGAUGAAUCAUUGAGUUGUUCCAGUACAGUAAUUUCUAAGUAAGUUCCUAACCUUAGAAGAACCAAUUCAAAAUCUGAACAGAAAAUGAACAAAACCCUGUCUUGCUUAUCUUGUAAAUCUGCUCUACAAUGGUCUUUUCAGUCAGUUUCUGCACAGGGCUUAGCCAGAUAACUUCCAGUGACUUUAUACUGUUUAAUCCCAGUUCAUUAGUGUAUAAUUAGGAUACUAUACACAAUUUUAAUUUAAUUUCAUGUUGAGAUAAAUAUUACAUUAACUCAUACACUUAUUUUUGUUAAUGUGACAAAUUGGUGAACCUGUUUGUACAAUUCAUGUAUUCUGUCUGAGAGAUUAUGAACUCUCUGUAUGUAGCUGCUAACUCCAUUUUGCCUUCUUUUGUUGACUGUCCAUCUUCAU